CCUCUCGGGGGUAAGCGGGCAAAACUUGCAAGUAUUGACAAGAGAUUCAGACUUGGUCUUGGGUGGAUGUAUAUAUUUAUUAAGUUGUUUAUUCGUAAACUGACUAAUUUAUAUGUUUUUGGCUAUCUAGACCGCGUCGCACUUCUCUUUGUCAUCCGGGUCGUAUGCAACUGAGUUGAUAGUUUAGGUACUAGGAUCCUGCAAAUCAUUUUGGUUUGAGUCUUAGUUUCCAACUAUUUUUGCGGUUGUUUUAAAAGCGAACAAGCAUUCGGUGCGGUCAAUUUUACUUACGAGUUUUGUACAUAUGAUAUAUGGACGAGCAAUCGUAAUAUGUUGUAUGUACUGGUUGUCAGUAGUAUACUGGCAUUGUUCAGUAUUACAAUCUAAAGCAUGCGUGGUCUGCCUGU
rnacentral:rRNA from 1 species